rnacentral:rRNA from 1 species
UAGCUAGUUGGUGAGGUAAAGGCUUACCAAGGCGACGAUCUGUAGCGGGUCUGAGAGGACGAUCCGCCACACUGGAACUGAGACACGGUCCAGACUCCUACGGGAGGCAGCAGUGGGGAAUUUUGGACAAUGGGGGCAACCCUGAUCCAGCCAUGCCGCGUGAGUGAAGAAGGCCUUCGGGUUGUAAAGCUCUUUCGGCCGGGAAGAAAUCGCAUGGGCCAAUACCCUGUGUGGAUGACGGUACCGGAAUAAGAAGCACCGGCUAACUACGUGCCAGCAGCCGCGGUAAUACGUAGGGUGCGAGCGUUAAUCGGAAUUACUGGGCGUAAAGCGUGCGCAGGCGGUUUUGUAAGACAGGCGUGAAAUCCCCGGGCUUAACCUGGGAACUGCGUUUGUGACUGCAAGGCUAGAGUACGGCAGAGGGGGGUGGAAUUCCACGUGUAGCAGUGAAAUGCGUAGAGAUGUGGAGGAACACCAAUGGCGAAGGCAGCCCCCUGGGUCGAUACUGACGCUCAUGCACGAAAGCGUGGGUAGCAAACAGGAUUAGAUACCCUGGUAGUCCACGCCCUAAACUAUGUCAACUAGGUGUUGGGUGGGUAAAACCAUUUAGUACCGUAGCUAACGCGUGAAGUUGACCGCCUGGGGAGUACGGCCGCAAGGUUAAAACUCAAAGGAAUUGACGGGGACCCGCACAAGCGGUGGAUGAUGUGGAUUAAUUCGAUGCAACGCGAAAAACCUUACCUACCCUUGACAUGCCAGGAACUUGCCAGAGAUGGCUUGGUGCCCGAAAGGGAGCCUGGACACAGGUGCUGCAUGGCUGUCGUCAGCUCGUGUCGUGAGAUGUUGGGUUAAGUCCCGCAACGAGCGCAACCCUUGUCGUUAAUUGCCAUCAUUUAGUUGGGCACUUUAACGAGACUGCCGGUGACAAACCGGAGGAAGGUGGGGAUGACGUCAAGUCCUCAUGGCCCUUAUGGGUAGGGCUUCACACGUCAUACAAUGGUCGGUACAAAGGGUUGCCAAGCCGCGAGGCGGAGCCAAUCCCAGAAAGCCGAUCGUAGUCCGGAUUGCAGGCUGCAACUCGCCUGCAUGAAGUCGGAAUCGCUAGUAAUCGUGGAUCAGCAUGUCACGGUGAAUACGUUCCCGGGUCUUGUACACACCGCCCGUCACACCAUGGGAGCGGGUUCCGCCAGAAGUAGGUAGCCUAACCGCAAGGGGGGCGCUUACCACGGCGGGGUUCGUGACUGGGGUGAAGUCGUAACAAGGUAGCCGUAGGGGAACCUGCGGCUG